ACACGUGGAGAGAGGAAUAGCUAACCAGACAGCGGAUAGACGUGCAGCAGCAAGGAUCUUGUGAGAUAAGCUUUUUUUAUUUUUCUUUGAAUAUAAAUCUAACCAAAAGCUUAAAUUACUACCAUCAAAAACUAUUUUGUAUAGAUUAACAUAGUAGACUUCGGUGGUUUGCAGCCUCUGGUUUUACACGAACCCCUUCUGUUGUCAUUCAAAACACGUCAGAGAAAAUGGCGGAACUUGAAAAAGACGCAGGACUACCCCAACCAAUGCAGGAGAACCGAGAUGAAGAGGAUCCGGGCAAUUCCAUGGUAGAGGAGAUGGACACCUCAGAAGACAUGCAAGAUGACAACCUGAUCAAGCGGGACCACUUCCACAGUUCUAAUAAUGAACAGCAAGAUGGACAUUUGGUAGUUAGGAGGAAUGUAAUAUUAGAACGAACUAAAUUCAACCAAAGACAACAAGAAGCAGGAGAGACAGCUGAUGAUUUUAUCACUGCACUUCAUGGUUUGUCAGAACAUUGCGGUUAUGGAGCUCUGCUCAGUGAGAUGAUAAGAGACAGACUAGUCGCAGGCUUACAUGACAGAAGAUUGUCCAAGCAAUUACAAUUUGACCCAGAACUAACACUGGAUAAAGCUGUCACACGCAUUCGUCAAACUGAACUUGUGAAAAAGCCACAGGACCUGCCGGAGUAUACCUUCAAAGCUACCAGCAAUGCAGCAAAUGUAGAGAGUGUGCUUUCACAUAGCAAACAGCAAAGCCCAGCCAAUGUCCAGUGCCAAUCAGAGAAGAAUCAAAACUCAGAAAGACCACAACAACCUCAAACAGCGCAGGAGAAUGCAGAAGAUCCCCUAGAUUUUAAUGACACUGAUGGCUUCAGUCCUGGAGGAGAAAAGCCUCACUACUGCGCCUACUGUGGUAGGAGCUUUCAAAAAGUAAGGGAUCUUAUAAGACACCAGCGAACACAUACUGGAGAGAAGCCUCACAACUGCUCUGAUUGCAACAGAAGUUUUGCUCGAUUAGAUAAUCUCAAGUCACACCAAAAAAUACAUGUGAAAGACAAACAUCAUUUUCACUCCACUAAAUGUGUGGAAAGCUUUGUCCUAUUGGAGAAGCUUGAAAAACACCUGCUAGAGAAUAUCUUCAAAGCUACCAGCAGUGCAGCAAAUGUAGACAGUGUGCCUGAACUUGGUAAAAAUCAGCACCCAGAAAGACUACUGCCCCAAACAACUCUGGAGAACAGAGAGAAGCCUCAUCAUGAUACUUCCGAUGACCCUAUUGUGAGUUCUAAUGGAGGUGAGAGGCGUCAUCCCUGCUCCGACUGUGGGAAGAACUUUACACGAGUUUAUCAUCUUAAAAGACACCAACGAACACAUACGGGAGAGAAGCCUCAUCGCUGCUCUGAUUGUGGCAAAAGUUAUUCUCAGUCGUAUGAUCUGAAAAUACACCACCAGCGAAAGCAUAUGAAAGGGAAAUACUUCCACUGCAAUCAUUGUGAAGAACGUUUCUCCAAACCAGAGGAUCUGAACACACACAUGCAUGUACAUGCUGGAGAAAAGCCAUACCUUUGUCCAGACUGUGGGAAGAGAUUCCAGUUGUUAAAUGCAUUUGAAAUGCACCAACAAAAACAUACUUUGGGGCUUCUUGAGUGCUCUUAUUGUGGUAAAAGUUUUUCUAAGGUGGAUAAACUUAAACUACACCAGCGAACGCAUACGGGAGAGAAACAUUUUCGCUGCCCUGACUGUGGGAAAAGUUUUACCCGCUCGGAUCUUCUGAAAAGUCACCAGAGGACACAUAAGAAAGAGGGUGAUUGUCUGUACUGUGAUAAAAGCUUUUUUGAACCUGGAGAACUAAAAAUACACAUGGAAGUACAUAGUCAAGAAAGGCCUCACCUUUGCCCCAACUGUGGGAAGAGAUUCAAACUGUUAUGGUCGUUGAAAAAGCACCAGCGAAAACACACAGAGAAGAUCUCACCAAGGGAAAAGCGUCACCACUGUUCCGACUGCAACAAGAGUUUUACUCGCGGAUAUCAUCUUAAAAGACAUCGGGAAACACACACAGGAGAAAAGCCUUUCCACUGCUCUAAUUGUGACAAAAGCUUUGCAGGAAAGGAGAGGCUUAAACAACAUCAACUAACACACAAGGAAAAGAAACGUCACCGCUGUUCAAGGUGUGAUAAAAGAUUUCCUGACAUGGCAAAACUACGAUCACACCUUCCAGUACAUUCCGUAGAACUGGCACUCCACUGUUCUGACUGUGGAAAGUAUUUCUUAAACAAGGCAAAGUUUGAAAGACACCAAAAAAUACACACUGGAAGUGGAAAAAUACCAUUCCUCUGCACUGACUGCGGGGAGGGUUUUACAAAUUUGCGUCAGUUGGAAGACCACCAGCGAACACACACUGGGGAGAAACCGUACUGCUGCAUUGAUUGCGGAAAGAGUUUUGCACAUGAAAAAACAUUUAAGUGUCACAAGCAAGCACACAAGUUCAAACUUUCUGGAGAAAGAGCAGCCUAUCCUUGCUCGGAAUGUGGAAAUACUUUUUCUCGUUCAUGUGAUGUGAUGAGUCAUGUGAGAAGGGUGCAUAAUAAAGAGAGACCUUUCCAGUGCUCCUGCUGUGGAAAAAGAUUUUUCCAAAAGAACUCACUCACAAUACACAUGAGAAUGCACACCGGAGAGAAACCGUACCACUGCUCAGAAUGUGGACAAAGCUUCUCCCAAAUGAACGACAGAAAACGCCACCAGAAGAGGCAACACUCUGGAGAGGAGACUUGAUCUCUAUACUAGUGUGGAAGGCACAGUCAGAAACACUCAAUAAGAAAGGACUACAACAGAAACACACACAUACAAUAUUGUAUCAGUCUUUAUUCCAGGUUUAUUUUUGUCAUAUCCUUGAAAUGAUCUUGUAUCAACAGUAAAGUUUAUUUCACAAA